AAAUAGAACUUUGCAGAGAGAGUUAACAGGGCGUGAAACCGUUAAUUGAGAAACGAAUCGGAGCCACGAAGUCGUUUCGUUGUUCAGUCAGUUGGGGUUCAGCGUUUAUCGAAAGAUUGGCGUGUAUUCCCGCGACUGGCCAUUGUAAGCGUACACUGCAACCAGUUAGACGAUUGGCCAUGGGCCCAGUUGCUCGGGUUAGUAGUAGCAAGGUGCGCCUCGGUGCAUGCUUGUUGCUGGACUCGUGGCGAGUGAGCUAUGGCCAAAUACUGACUGGCGAAAUGAAAAUCGCAUCAUUAUGCGUAAUACAGAAUGCAACUAGCCGCGUGGGUGUCUACGCCAUGGACUAUUUGGUUUAAGCUCGGCAGUUUUGAAUUCAGACUUGCUUGCUACCAGUGGGGCAACUCCUGGUGCUUGUACAGCUUCUGUCUAAUCGGCUGUCGACUUGGCCUAAUAUCGUUCUGUGGCGAAGCGAUUGGGCGCCAACGCGAGCUAACUCGCAAUUAUUGGCAGUGAGUAGGUCGGCUUUCCGAACGACCCGUCUUGAAACACGGACCAAGGAGUCUAAUUAGGCAUCGAGUCGAUCGGUCUUGAAUAGGCCAGACUGGGCGGCUUCGCCCGACGGAAGGCGAAGAGAAAUCGUGUGAUCUGGUGGGCAACAACAGCCUCCUGGCGCAACAUGUGCCUGUUCGUGUGGCAAUGUCGCAAUGAUUGCCGGCGGAGCAAAGAGAUGCCUGAUUGGUACCCGAAAGAUGGUGAGCCUGGGCAAAUUGAAGCCAGAGGAAACUCUGGUGGAGGAUUGUAGCGAUUCUGACGUGCAAAUCGAUCGUCAGACCUGGGUAUAGGGGCGAAAGACUAAUCGAACCAUC
rnacentral:rRNA from 1 species